rnacentral:rRNA from 1 species
GACGAACGCUGGCGGCGUGCUUAAUACAUGCAAGUCGAACGGAGUGGCGAACGGGUGAGAAACACGUGGGUGACCUGUCCUGCACUCCGGGAUACGCCUGGGAAACUGGGUUUCAUACCGGAUAGUGUGGGAUGGGCCCGCGGCCUAUUAGCUUGUUGGUGGGGUAAUGGCCUCCCAAGGAGGCGACGGGUAGCCGGCCUGCGAGGGUGGACGUCCACCAGGGGACUGAGGCACGGCCCAGUAUCCUACGGUAGGCAGCAGUGGGGAAUAUUGCACAACGGGGGGGAGCCAGAUGCAGAGGCGCCGCGUGGGGAAUGACGGGCUUCGAGUUGUAAACACGUUUCACCAUCAACGCGGUAUAUGGAGAAAAAGCAACGGCUAACUACGUCCCAGCAGCCGCGGUAAUUC